CGCCUCCUCGAACUCGCUCUCCGCGUUCCUCCGCCGCGGCGCUGCCCCGGAGCAGUCGCUGCUGCGCCCGGCCGUCGUCGCGGCGGCCUCCCGCCUCGGCUUCCCGCGCGGGAUGGCGCGGCGACCUGGCGGGGACGGCUACGGCGCGGGCCGGGACCGCGCGCCCACGGAGAUGGCGCCGCUGUUCCCCGGCUGCGACUACGAGCACUGGCUCAUCGUGAUGGACAAGCCCGGCGGGGAGGGCGCCACCAAGCAGCAGAUGAUCGACUGCUACAUCCAGACCCUCGCCAAGGUCCUCGGAAGGUAGCCGAGGCACCAAUCGUCCCCUUCUACGAUUGCCGUAGUUCCUGAGGAGUGGGGUGGUUUCUUUUGGAAAAAGGAAAUCUCACGGUGUUUUUUUUUCUGCUGUGCAGUGAGGAGGAGGCGAAGAAGAAGAUCUACAACGUCUCGUGCGAGCGCUAUUUCGGGUUCGGGUGCGAGAUCGAUGAGGAGACAUCUAACAAGCUCGAGGGUUCGUUCAACCUAUGCUCCAUGAUGCCAUUAUUACGUUGUUCUCUCUGCUAAAUUUGACCUGAUAAGUAUCUGGUGCCGUUUUGUUUAUGUUGUACUGCAGGGCUCCCUGGUGUUCUCUUUGUGCUACCGGAUUCGUAUGUUGACCCUGAGUACAAGGACUACGGAGGUACCUUUCUCAUCUUGCUCCACAGAUAUAGUUGUUUUGUCUUCCGUAGUUGAACCAGUGUCCAGUCUCAAUCACACUGGAAUUGUAGUCCAUCUUGGCAAAGCUUGGAGCCUAGGCGGCAAUGUCUUGCUUUGAAUGCUAAUGGACUGAUAUCAAGUGUCUCUCUAACAGUUCUGUGCUUCAGUGAAAUGGGGGUCAGAUCAGUAGGGAUGAGAUAUUGCGAGCUCAUUUCAUGUCCAAUCUAGGGGGUUUAAUAUGUUCUGUCUUCAGCAGUUGAACCAGUGUCAUGUCAACCACACUAGACUUAGUCCAUCUUGGCAAAGCUCGGAGCCUAGUCCGCAAUGUCUUGCUUUGAAUGCUAAUGGACUGAUACCAAGUGUUUCUCUAAUGGUUCUGCGCUUCAAUGAAUGGGGUUCAGAUCAGUUGGGAUGAGACAUUGCAGCUCAUUUCAUGCCCAAUCUAGAUGUUUUUACAUGUUUUGUCUUCAGUAGUUGAACCAGUGUCAGCCAACUAAACUAGACUUUUAGUCCAUCUUGGCAAAGCUUGGAGCCUAGUCGGCAAUGUCUUGCUUUGAAUGCUAAUGGACUGAUAUCAAGUGGCUCUCUAACGAUUCUGGGCUUCAAUGAAAUGGGGCUCAGAUCAGUAGGGAUGAGACAUUGCGAGCUCAUUUCAUGUCCAAUCUAGGGGGUUUAAUAUGUUCUGUCUUCAGCAGUUGAACCAGUGUCGUGUCAACCACACUAGACUUAGUCCAUCUUGGCAAAGCUCGGAGCCUAGUCCGCAAUGUCUUGCUUUGAAUGCUAAUGGACUGAUACCAAGUGUCUCUCUAAUGGUUCUGCGCUUCAAUGAAUGGGGUUCAGAUCAGUUGGGAUGAGACAUUGCAGCUCAUUUCAUGCCCAAUCUAGAUGUUUUUACAUGUUUUGUCUUCAGUAGUUGAACCAGUGUCAGCCAACUACACCAGACUUUUAGUCCAUCUUGGCAAAGCUUGGAGCCUAGUCGGCAAUGUCUUGCUUUGAAUGCUAAUGGACUGAUAUCAAGUGGCUCUCUAACGAUUCUGGGCUUCAAUGAAAUGGGGCUCAGAUCAGUAGGGAUGAGACAUUGCGAGCUCAUUUCAUGUCCAAUCUAUUGGGUUUAAUAUGUUCUGUCUUCAGCAGUUGAACCAGUGUCGUGUCAACCACACUAGACACACUAGACUUAAUCCAUCUUGGCAAAGCUCGGAGCCUAGUCCGCAAUGUCUUGCUUUGAAUGCUAAUGGACUGAUACCAAGUGUCUCUCUAACGGUUCUGGGCUUCAAUGAAAUGGGGCUCAGAUCAGUAGGGAUGAGACAUUGCGAGCUCAUUUCAUGUCCAAUCUAGGACUUACCUCUGGCUGCUUGGAUUGGAUAUUGUAUUGGUGUUGAUAGGAUUUAUCAUUCUAUUACUUUUUUGUUGCACAGCUGAACUGCUUGUCAACGGUGAGAUUGUUCAGAGGCCUCCUGAGAGGCAGAGAAGGGUCGAGCCCGUGCCACAGAGGGCUGCAGACAGGCCUAGGUACAAUGACAGGACCCGCUACGCACGCAGGAGGGAGAACCAGCGAUGAGAUGAAAAAAGUCCACAAUAACAAGUUCAGGUGGUUUGAGCUCUGUAAUUCAAGGAUAGUGUGCUUUGGAUGUAUUGUACUCUGUAACUACAGUUACUCAGAUUGCUCAAAGGACCUGGUUUGGAAUGCAUGCACUGUUACUAGCGCCCGUUUGCACAUGUAAAAUUUCUUUAUGGAAGCUGCUUAAUUGACUAUGAAGGCCUAACAUUAGGUAUUUCAUUCAUUGCCAACAGCUUAUCCAUCCCUAUCUCUAUUUGAAGUUCAAUUUACGAGCAGUGUAGUUUACAGAUGACUAUAUAGAUGAACUAAUGGAUAUGGUUUUAUGCUUA
rnacentral:lncRNA from 1 species